CAAGUCGAACGAAGUAGCAAUACUUAGUGGCAGACGGGUGAGUAACAUGUAGGUAUCUACCCUAUGGCCUGGAAUAACACGAGGAAACUUGUGCUAAUACCGGAUAAGUCUUUACGGAGAAAGCUUUAUGCACCAUUGGAUGAGCCUGCACUUGAUUAGUUUGUUGGUAGGGUAAUGGCCUACCAAGACUGUGAUCAAUAGCUGAUUUGAGAGGAUGAUCAGCCACAUUGGGACUGAGACACGGCCCAAACUCCUACGGGAGGCAGCAGUGGGGAAUCUUGCACAAUGGAGGAAACUCUGAUGCAGCGAUGCCGCGUGAGUGAAGAAGGCCUUUGGGUUGUAAAGCUCUUUCGUCGGGGAAGAAAAUGACUGUACCCGAAUAAGAAGGUCCGGCUAACUUCGUGCCAGCAGCCGCGGUAAUACGAAGGGACCUAGCGUAGUUCGGAAUUACUGGGCUUAAAGAGUUCGUAGGUUGUUGAAAUAGUUGGUGGUGAAAUCCCAGAGCUUAACUCUGGAACUGCCAUCAAAACUUUUCAGCUAGAGUUUGAUAGAGGAAAGCAGAAUUUCUAGUGUAGAGGUGAAAUUCGUAGAUAUUAGAAAGAAUACCAAUUGCGAAGGCAGCUUUCUGGAUCAUUACUGACACUGAGGAACGAAAGCAUGGGUAGCGAAGAGGAUUAGAUACCCUCGUAGUCCAUGCCGUAAACGAUGUGUGUUAGACGUUGGAAAUUUAUUUUCAGUGUCGCAGCGAAAGCGAUAAACACACCGCCUGGGGAGUACGACCGCAAGGUUAAAACUCAAAUGAAUUGACGGGGACCCGCACAAGUAGUGGAGCAUGUGGUUUAAUUCGAAGAUACGCGCAGAACCUUACCAACACUUGACAU
rnacentral:rRNA from 1 species